CACGCUCACCUCUCAGCCCUCCACCUCCAGCCCAGCUCCUGCUCAGCGCGGAGCUGCUUUGGAGAACUUGCUGCUGGCGCCCAACAGCUGGGUGAAUUCUGCUUACAGUGUUUCCCAAAGAGGCCUGUAGGACAUCUGGGUCUUCCAUGGUGGUGGGGGUUUUGGCCUCAACAACAAGGCUCUGGUGGCAGAAAUGAUAGCAACCCAGUGAAAAGACAGGGACAAAAGGGUCAAAGGAGUCAGUGCAAAAGCACUGUCUGGGAAAGCGAAUCAACCCAGAUUGUCCCCUUGGGAAACAUGGCAUGUGCUUGGUGUGACAGCUGAUUCUCCCCUUAAUCACUGCCAUGAAAACAAAAUAACCAUAAGAGCAAUGGCAGAUUAGACAAGGGAAAUUAAGGAACCCAAAUACUGACAGGAUGCAUUUUUGAAGAUACAGCAGACUCCUGGGUCCUUGUGACAACCUUCCCACACCAAUUCUCAGACCACCUUCUUUACCUGAACCUGCACGGUGUCAAAAUGGCCUCCACAAGAAGCAAUCCAAUGGGGCUCUGUUCUCUCCUUGCCAAGACCAGGAUGAUAACGCAGUUGUGAUGGCCACAGGACUAGGAAAGACCAUGGAUAUAGGCAGCAAAGUCUAAGGAAAUUUUCUUAGACAGAAAUCUGAAACUAGCAUGGAGAAUAAAUGGUUAAGGAAAGAGAGAGAAAGAGAGGCAGCGAGAGAGAGCGAGAGUAAGAGCAAAAGCGAGAGCGAGAGAGACAGAUCAGAGAUGGGACCUCCAAAGCCAGGAUGUAGCAAGGUUACCAGCAGCAGCCCUGUAAGCUCUCCCUUGUAACCCAGCAACUAUGUUGUGAGGAAGCCCAGGUCGCCUGGAAAAGUCCACGUGGACAGGAACCCAGGAACUCAGCUGACAGCCAGCACCAGCUGGCCCACCUGUAUGCAUGGGCCCUCUUGGAAGUAGACCCUCCAGCCUUCAGUAGAACCCCUCCAACUGAUUCAAUGUGAUACAAAGAUGACUUCCCUGCCAAGCCCUGCCCAAAUUGCAGGUUUGUG
rnacentral:lncRNA from 1 species